rnacentral:rRNA from 1 species
CACGUAGGGCGCGAGCGUUGUCCGGAAUUAUUGGGCGUAAAGAGCUCGUAGGCGGCCUGUUGCGUCCGCUGUCAAAACCCAGGGCUCAACCUUGGAUCCGCGAGGGAAACGGCAUGACUGGAGGAUGCGAGGGGUCUGUGGAACUCUAGGAGUAGGGGUGAAAUCCGUUGAUAUCUAGGGGAACACCAAAAGCGAAGGCAGCAGACUGGCGCAUUCCUGACACUGAAACACGAAAGCGUGGGUAGCGAAUGGG